ACUCCUACGGGAGGCAGCAGUCGAGAAUCUUCCGCAAUGGGCGCAAGCCUGACGGAGCGACGCCGCGUGGAGGACGAAGGCCUUCGGGUUGUAAACUCCUGUCACGAGUUAAGAAGGGCAUGCAGCGAACAGCUGUAGGCUUUGACGUAAGCUCGAGAGGAAGCACUGGCUAACUCUGUGCCAGCAGCCGCGGUAAUACAGAGAGUGCAAACGUUGUUCGGAAUUACUGGGCUUGAAGCGCACGUAGGCGGCGUUGUAAGUGUCGGGUGAAAUCCCACGGCUCACCCGUGGAACUGCCCGGCAUACUGCGAUGCUAGAGUGUGGUAGGGGAGAGCGGAACUCCUA
rnacentral:rRNA from 1 species